AGGCCCAUAGCUCAGUUGGUAGAGCGCUUCCCUUACAAGGAAGAUGUCAUCGGUUCGAGUCCGGUUGGGCCUA
rnacentral:tRNA from 1 species